rnacentral:tRNA from 1 species
AGGUAGAAUGGCUGAGUGUUAGGCGGCAGGCUGUAAUCCUGCUUACACAGGUUUAAGCCCUGUUUCUUC